rnacentral:rRNA from 1 species
UGGGGAAUAUUGCACAAUGGGCGCAAGCCUGAUGCAGCGACGCCGCGUGCGGGAUGGAGGCCUUCGGGUUGUAAACCGCUUUUGUUCAAGGGCAAGGCACGGUCUUUGGCCGUGUUGAGUGGAUUGUUCGAAUAAGCACCGGCUAACUACGUCGCC